rnacentral:rRNA from 1 species
AGAGACGAAACAGUGAUGUGGNGUAAAACUUAUAAAAGCGACCUCAGUUCGGAUUGAAGGCUGAAAUUCGCCUUCAUGAAGUCGGAAUUGCUAGUAAUGGCAGGUCAGCAUACUGCCGUGAAUACGUUCCCGGGCCUUGUACACACCGCCCGUCACACCAUGAGAGUUGGAGAUACCCGAAGCCUAUGAGCUAACUUUUAGAGGCAGUAGUCGAAGGUAGAAUCAAUGAUUGGGGUGAAGUCGUAACAAGGUAUC